GACGAACGCUGGCGGCGUGCUUAACACAUGCAAGUCGAACGGAAAGGCCCCUUUGGGGGUACUCGAGUGGCGAACGGGUGAGUAACACGUGAGUAACCUGCCCUUGACUUCGGGAUAACUUCAGGAAACUGGGGCUAAUACCGGAUAGGAAUCCUUGCUGCAUGGUGGGGGUUGGAAAGCUUCGGCGGUUUUGGAUGGACUCGCGGCGUAUCAGCUUGUUGGUGGGGUAGUGGCUUACCAAGGCUUUGACGGGUAGCCGGCCUGAGAGGGCGACCGGCCACAUUGGGACUGAGAUACGGCCCAGACUCCUACGGGAGGCAGCAGUGGGGAAUAUUGCACAAUGGGCGGAAGCCUGAUGCAGCAACGCCGCGUGCGGGAUGACGGCCUUCGGGUUGUAAACCGCUUUCAGCAGGGGCGAAGCUUGUGGUGACGGUACCUGCAGAAGAAGCACCGGCUAACUACGUG
rnacentral:rRNA from 1 species